UAGUAUCGAGAAUCCGUAAAAGGGGAGCCUUGCUUCCGAUCUCGGCAUCUCUCCCUCGAUGAUAGAGAAAUAGAUAGCGGGUUUCAAAGAUGAGCAAGGACUUAAGGUCUUUGGACCCCAGGCCUUGGCUUAGGCUCCAUUUGUCAAUCUUCUUUUGGUGUGAGAUUCUUGAUGUGGAUAAGGACAUAGUUAGCUCGGGUGUUAUGUGGCCAUUGUUCAGUGUCCUUGAUUGGAGUCUUUCAAUGAGGAUCGAGGAAGAUGAAGCCGUCCGCUCGAGAGAAGGCAAGGGCUCGGGCCUUGAAGCCAAGACCCUUUUUGGAUAGGUCAUUUUCAGGUGCAGUUUGUAGGUUGUUGGGCCAUUGGUUUUUUUUUUUCCUGUCUCAUGGGUUUUAUUCUUAGGUCUGUCUUGACUGCUUAUUUUUUAUGUGAUAUUUCUGUGGGCUUUUGAUUGUUAACUUUUCCUAUUUUACCGACAUCCAGCUGUACGUUUUAUUUGGGAUACUUCGUCAAUCGUCACUGUUUUAUUAA